GCCAGUGUGGUGUAGUGGUUUAAGUGUCAGACUAGGACUCUGAAGACCAGGGUUUGAAUCUCAGCUCAUCCA